rnacentral:lncRNA from 1 species
AUGACACCUUUGUUAUUAGGGCCAAAGCAAAAGCAAACGUUCAUCGGAGCUCGGCGCCUCCUUGAACUUCAGCUUGCGAGCGACGCUGGCGCGCUGCUGCAGAACCGGCCUUUCGCUGGCUCCGAGACAUUUAACGCGUUCCUAACGGGGCGAGAUGUCGCUCGCAAGUGUGCAACGUGCUCGAAAAACAGCGUGUUUAUGGAUGAUGCUUGUUCUCUUGCUGGGGGCCAGCCCAAGACCGAUACGCUGUGGUUUGGACUCUUGCAGCGCUGCAGGAGGCUCAACCCAGCCCUUUGCAGAGGCGGCUCCCGACUUGCCUGUUCCCUUGCCUGGGAGGACAACGUCAUCCCUGGGGUAAACAGGCUCUUUGACACCCAAGCUUCAGCGCCGUUUCCUGAGCGCGAACCCUCCGCGGCGGAAAGGUUACAUCUGCGCGCCCCUGAGCAGCUCGCUUCUCCCGCCUGUUGUGUAGAGCGGUGGAUUUUGUGUUGUCUGCUCGCGAAUUAGCCCUAAUUAACUUGUGCCCUCGGGAGGAAGGCAGGGCUACUGGCUGGAUGCUUUCCCAGCAGAAAUCCCUUGGCUUUUCUGACUAACGUGCUGCCGCUGAGCUGCUCCCGUAGCACGGGGUUGUAUCGAUCUCCGCAGGCUGCGCUUGGCACGCUGCGUGUUCACUGCUGAGUUACGGCACGCUGGAGAUUCGAGCUAAAUAAAAUCAAAACUGUUUGCUUUCCCCGUCUCCCG